rnacentral:rRNA from 1 species
AUUGAACGCUGGCGGCAUGCCUUGCACAUGCAAGUCGAACGGUAACAGGUCUUCGGAUGCUGACGAGUGGCGAACGGGUGAGUAAUACAUCGGAACGUGCCUAGUAGUGGGGGAUAACUACUCGAAAGAGUGGCUAAUACCGCAUGAGAUCUACGGAUGAAAGCAGGGGAUCGCAAGACCUUGUGCUACUAGAGCGGCCGAUGGCAGAUUAGGUAGUUGGUGGGGUAAAAGCUUACCAGGCCGAUGAUCUGUAGCUGGUCUGAGAGGACGAUCAGCCACACUGGGACUGAGACACGGCCCAGACUCCUACGGGAGGCAGCAGUGGGGAAUUUUGGACAAUGGGCGAAAGCCUGAUCCAGCAAUGCCGCGUGCAGGAUGAAGGCCUUCGGGUUGUAAACUGCUUUUGUACGGAACGAAAAGCCCCGGGUUAAUACCCUGGGGUCAUGACGGUACCGUAAGAAUAAGCACCGGCUAACUACGUGCCAGCCGCCGCCGUAA